ensembl:lncRNA
CUGCCAGUGACGCCACAACCACUUGGUGGACACCGAGGAAUCACCUGCUGGGCACGCCCGAAGCACCUCACAGAUGUGCCAGGACCACGUGCCGGCCAUGCUGGAACCAGCUCCCGGACAGACCAGAAGCACCUGCCGGACACGCCGGAACCACUUGCCGAGCAUGCAGGAACCACCUGCUCGACACGCAGGACCCACCUUCUGGACAUGCCAAAAUCACCUACCGGCUCCACCAGAACCACUUGGUGGACACUCUGGAAUCUCCUGCGGGCAUGCAUGAACCACCUCUCAAACUUGCCGCAACCACAUUCCUGACACGCCGGAACCACCCCACAAAAACACCAGAAGCACAUGCCGAGCACACCGGAAUAACCUGCUCAACUCGUUGGAACCAUGUGCCGGACACGCCAUAAUCACCUGCUGGCUAUGCCAGAACAACAUGGCAGAUACUCCGAAAUCACCUGCCAGCCUUGCCGGAACCGCAUCUCAGACGUCCCAGAACCAUGUGCCGGACACGCAGGAACCAUGUCCUGGACAGACUGGAACCACCUGCAGGACACCCCUGAACCAAGAGCCGAGCAUGCCGGAACCACCGGCUCGACUCGCAGGACCCCCCUAACGGACACGCCAAAAUCACCUGCGUGCUGCGCCAGAACCACUUGUUGGACACUCUGGAAUCACCUGCAGUGCAUGCCAGAACCACCUCUCCGAAGUGCCAGAACCACAUGUCGGACACUACGGAAUCACCUGCCGGGCAUGCCGGAACCACCUGUGAGACGUGCCACAACCACGUGCUGGAGAGACCGGAAGCACCUGCCUGACAUGCCAAACUCACGUUCCGGCGACGCCAAAACCACUUGGUGGACACUCCAAAAUCAACUUCCGGGCAUGCUGGAACCACGUCAUGGACAGACUGCAAACACCUGCCGGACCGGCCUGAACCACCUGCCGAGCACGCCGGAAACACCUGCUCGACACGCCCGAACCACCUGCCGGACACACCAAAAACACCUCCUGGUACGCCAGAAUCACUUGCCGGACACUCCGGAAUCACCUGUUGGGCAUUCUGGAACUACCUCUCAGACGUGCCAGAACCACGUGUAACAGACACCGGAUGCACCUUCUGAGCACGCUGGAACCUCCUACUCGACUUGCCGGGACCAACUGCCGGAGACACCAGAAUCACCUGCCGGCUAGGCCAGAACCACGUGGAGGACUCUAUGGAAUCACCUGCCGGGCAUGCCGGAACCACCUAUCAGAUGUGCCUGAAGCACAUGCUGGACACACCGGAACCACCUACUGGACAGACCGGAACCACCUGCCGGACCCGCCUGAACCACCUGCUGAGCACGCCGAAAAAACCUGCUCGACUCGCUGGAGCCACCUGCUGGACACGCCAAAAUCACCAGCCGGCUAUGCCAGAAGCACUUGCCAGACACUCUGGAAUCACCUGCAGGGCAUGCCGGAACCACCUCUCAGACGUGCCAGAACCACAUGCCGCAGACUCCGGAAUCACCUGCCGGUCAUGCCACAACCACCCCUCUGACGUGCCACAACCACGUGCCGGAGAGACAGGAGGCACCUGCCGAGCUCGCCGGAACCACCUGCUGGACACGCCAGCACCACCUGCCUGAGACGCCAAAAUCACGUGCCAGCUAUGCCAAAACCACUUGGUGGACACUCCAGAAUCACCUUCCGGGCAUGCCGGAAGCACCUCUCCGAUGUGCCAGAACCACGUGGCGGACAGUCCGGAAUCACCUGCUGGGCAUGCGGGAACCACCUCUCAGACGUACUAGAACCACGUGUGGCACACGCAGUAACUCACUGCCGGACAGGCCGAAACCACCUGCGGGAAAUGCCAGAAUCACCUGCCGAGAACGCCGGAACCACCUGAACAGCUCGCCAGAAACACCUGCCGGACACGCCAACAUCACCUGCCGGACACGCCAAAAUCACCUGCCGGCUAUGCCAAACUACUUGGCGGACACCCCAGAACCACCUGCCGGACAGGCCAGAACCACCUGCUGUACCCCCCGGAACCACCUCCCGGACAGACAGGAACAACCUGUCAGACACACGUGAACGACCAGCCCAGCUCGCCGGGACCACCUGCUCGAAUCACCGGAACCACCUGCUGGACGUGCCAAAAUCACCUGCCAGCUAUGCCAGAACCACGUUGGGGACAGUCUGGGAUCCCCUGCCGGGCAUGCCAGAGCCAACUCUCAGACAUGGCAGAACCAUGUGCGGGACACGCCGAAAACACCUAUAGGAAAGACUGGAACCACCUGCCCAAAACGCCUGAACCACCUGCUGAGCCCGCCAGAACCACAAGCUCGACUUGCUGGAAGCACCAGCCCAACACGCCCAAGUCACCAGCCGGCUAUGCCAGAACCACUUGUUGGAUACUCCGGAAUCACCUGCCGGGCAUGCCGGAACCACCUCUCAGACAGGCCAAACCAUGUGCCAAACACACCGGAAGCACCUCCUGCGCAGACGGGACCACCUGCUCAUCUCGCCUGAACCACUUGUUGGACACGCCAAAAUCACCUGCCGGUUACGCCAGAACCACUUGGCGGACUCUCUGGAAUCACAUGCUGGGCAUGCCAGAACCACUUCUCCUACGUGCCAGAACCACGUGCCUUACAUGCCGGAACCACCUCCCGGACAGACCGGCACCACCUGCCGGACAUGCCUGAACCACCUGCCGAGCACGCCGGAACCACCUGCCGGACAUGCCAAAAUCACCUGUGGGCUAUGCCAGAACAACUUGGAGGACUCUCCGGGAUCAGCUGCCAGACAUGCCGGAACCAGCUCUCGGACACACCAGAACCACGUGCCGGAGACGCCGGAAGCACCUGCCGAGCAUGCCGCAGCAACCUGCUCGACUCGCCAGAAACACCUGCCGGACACGCCAAAAUCACCUGCCGCGCAUGCCGGAACCACCUCUCAGACAAGCCAGAAGCACGUUCCGGACACGCCAGAAACACCUACCAGACAGACUGGAACCACCUGCCGAGCAUGACGGAUCCACCUGCUCGACUCGCCAGACCACCUACCUGACAUGCCAAAAUCACCUGCCGGCUAUGCCAGAACCACUUGGUGGACACUCCGGAAUCAUCUGCUGGACAUGCCAGAACCAGCUCUCAGACACACCAGAACCAUGUGCCAGAGAUGCCGGAAGCACCUGCCGAGCAUGCCGGAGCAACCUGCUCGACUCGCGAGAAACACCUGCCGGACACACCAAAAUUACCUGCCGCGUACGCCAGAACCACCUGGCGGACACUCAGGAAUCACCUGCCUCGCAUGCUGGAAUCACCUCUCAGACAUGCUGGAAGCAGGUGCUGAACGCACCGGAAACACCUACCAGACAGACCGGACCCACCUGCCAGACAUGCCGGAACCAGCUGCCGAGCACGCCGGAACCACCUGCUGUACUUGCAGGAACCAUGUGCCAGACAUGCCAAAAGGAACUGGGGCUACACCAGAACCACUUACCCGACACUCCGGUAUCACCUGCCUGGCAUGCAAGAACCACCUCUCAGACGUGCCAGAAGCAUGUGCCGGACAUGCCGGAACAAACUAUCGGGCAGAACGGAACCACCUGCCAGACACGCCGGAGCCACCUGCUCGACUCACCGGUACCACCUGCCGGACCAGCCACACUCAACAGCUGUCUAUACAGGAACCACCUGGCAGACAGUCCGGAAUCACCUACCGCGCAUGCCAGAACCACCUAUCAGAUGUGCCGGAAGCACGUGCCGGACAGGUCGGAACGACCUACAGGACAGACCGGAACCACAUGCCGGACCCGCCUGAACCACCUGCUGAGCACGCCGGAACAACCUAGUCGACUCGUUGGAGCCACCUGCUGGACACGCCAACAGCACCAGCCGGCAAUGCCAGAACCACUUGCCAGACACUCUAGAAUCACCUGCAGGGCAUGCCGGAACCACCUCUCAGAAGUGCCAGAACCACAUGUCGGACACUACGGAAUCACCUGCCGGGCAUGCCGAAACAACCUGUCACAUGUGCCAGAAACACGUGCCGGAGAUGCCGGAAGCACCUGCCGAGCAGGCCAGAACCACCUGCUCGACUCGCCAGAACCACCUGCCGGACACGCAAAAAUCACCUGCCGGCUACGCCACAACCAGUUGGUGAACACUUCCCAAUCACCUGCCGGGCUUGCUGGAACCACCUGCCGGUCAUGCCAAAAUCACCUGCCAACUACGCCAGAACCACUUGGUGGACACUGCAGAAACACCUGUCGGGCCGGCCGGAACCACCUCUCAGACGUGCCAGAACCAUGUGCAUGAGAUGCCGGAACCACACCCCGAACAGACCGAAACCACCUGCCAGACCCGCUUGAACGACCUGCCUAGCACGCUGGAACCACCUACCUGACAUGCCAAAACCACCUGCCGGGUAUGCUAGAACCACUUGGCGGACACUCCGGAAUCAUCUGCUGGACAUGCCGGAACCAGCUCGCAGACACACCAGAACCACGUGCCGGAGACGCCAGAAGCACCCGCCGAGCUUGCCAGAGACACCUGCUCGACUCACCAGAAUCACCUGCCGGACAUGCCAAAAUCACCUGCCGGGUAUGCCAGAACCACUUGGCGGACACUCCGGAAUCACCUGUCCGGCAUGCCGGAACCACCUCUCAGACUUGCCAGCGCCAUGUUCUGGACACGCCGGUACAACCUGCCGAGUAUGCCGGAACCACCUGAUCCACUAACCAGAACCAGCUGCUGGACACGCCAAAAUCACCUGCUGGCUACGUCAGAACCACUCGGCAGACACUCCGGAAUCACAUGCAGGGCAUGAUGGAACCACCUCUCAGAGGUGCCAGAAACACUCGGCAGACACUCCGGAAUCACCUGCCGGGCCUGCCGGAACCACCUCUCAGAGGUGCCAGAACCACAUGCCGGAGACUCCGGAAUCACCUGCCGGGCAUGCCGGAACCAUCUCUCAGAUGUGCCACAACCACAUGCCGGAGAGACCGCAAGCACCUGCCGAACUCGCCGGAACCACCUGCUGGACAUGCCGGAACCACCUGCCUCACAGGCCAAAAUCAUAUGCCGGCUACGCCAAAGCCAAUUGGUGGACACUCCAGAAUCACCUUGCGGGCAUGCCAGAACCACUUCAUGGACAGACUGCAAAUACCUGCUGGACCUGCCUGAACCACGUGCCGAGCACACUGGAACGACCUGCUCGACUCACCAGAGCCACCUGCCGGACACAGCAGAAACACCUGCGGGGUACGCGAGAACCACUUGGAGGACUCUCCGGGAUCACGUGACAGGCAUGCCGGAACCACCUCUCAGACGUGCCAGAACCAUGUGCCGGACACGCCGGAACCACCUGCCGAGUAUGCCGGAACCACCUGAUCCACUCCCCAGAACCAUCUGCUGGACACGCCAAAAUCACCUUCCGGCUACGCCAGAAACGCUCGGCAGACACUCCGGAACCACCUCCAGGACAGACCGGAACCCCCUGCUGGACACGCCGGGACCACCUGCUUGACUCACCAGAACCACCUGCCGGACACGCCAAAAUCACCAGCCGGCUACGCCACAAUCACUUGUCAGACAUUCCGGAAUCACCUGCCGGGCAUGCUGGAACCACCUCUCAGAGGUGCCACAACCACAUGCCGGAGAUGCUGGAAGCACCUGCCGAGAAUGCUGGAAGUUCCUGAUCCACUCCACAGAACCACCAGCCGGAAACGCCAAAAUCACCUGCCUGCUACACCAGAACCACUUGGCAGGCAAGCCAAAAUCACGUGAAGGGCAUGCCGACACAACCUCUCUGACGUGCCAGAACCUCGUGCUGGACACCCCAGAACCACCUGCCGGACACACUGGAGCCAUCUGCCGGACACGCCGGAACCACCGGCUCGACUCGCCGGAACCACUGCUGGACAUGCAAAAUCACCUGCCAGCUACGCCAGAACCAAUUGGCGGACACUCCAGAAACACCUGUCAGGCCGGCCGGAACCACCUGCACGACUCCCCAGAACCAGCUGCCGGACAUGCCAAAAUCACUUGCCGGCUACACCACAACCAGUUGGUGGACACUUCGGAAUCACCAGCCGGGCUGGCUGGAACCACCUGCCGGUCACGCCCACAUCACCUGUCAGCUCCGCCAGAACCACUUGGCGGACACUCCGGAAACACCUGUCGGGCCGGCCGGAACCACCUCUCAGACGUGCCAGAACCAUGUGCCUGAGAUGCCGGAACCACACCCCGAACAGACCGAAGCCACCUGCCACACCCGCCUGAACCACCUGCCGAGCACGCCGGGACCACCUGCACGACUCGCCGGAACCAACUACCUGACACGCCAAAAUCACCUGCCGGCUAUGCAAGAACCACUUGGUGAACACUCCGGAAUCACCAGCCGGGCAUGCCGGAACCACCUCUCAGACAUGCCGGAAUCACAUACCAAUGACACUGGAAGGACCUGCCGAGCAUGCCGGAACCACCUGCUCGACUCUCCAGAACCCCCUGCCGGACACGCCAAAAUCACCUUCCGGGUAUGCCAGAACCACUUGGAGGACACUCCAGGAUCACCUUUCGGGCAUGCCAGAACCACUUCUCAGACUUGCCAGAACCAUGUUCCGGACACGCCGGUACCACCUGCCGAGUAUGCCGGAACCACCUGAUACACUCUGCAGAACCACCUGCUUUGCAUGCCAAAAUCACCUGCCAGCUACGCCAGAACCACUCUGCAGACACUCCGGAACCAUCUCCAAGAUAGACCGGAACCACCUGCCUGACACGCCGGGACCACCUGUUUGACUCGCCAGAACCACCUGCCAGACACGCCAAAAUCACCAGCCGGCUACGCCACAACCACUUGUCGGACACUCCGGAAUCACCUGCCGGGCAUGCUGGAACCACCUCUCAGAGGUGCCACAACCACAUGCCGGAGACGGCGGAAGCACCUGCCGAGAAUGCCGGAAGUUCCUGAUCCAUUCCACAGAACCGCCUGCCGGACACGCCAAAAUCACCGGCCGGCUACGCCAGAACCACUUGGCGGACACUCCAGAAUCACCUGCCGGGCAUGCCAGCACAGCCUCUCUGAAGUGCCAGAAGCACGUGCCGGACAGGCCGGAACCAUCUCCCGGAAAGACCGGAACCAAAGGAAACACUCGCCGGAGCAACCUGCUUGACUCACCAGUCCCACCUGCCUGACAUGCCAAUAUCACCUGCCCGCUACAGGAGAAUCACUUGGGGGACAAGCCGGAAUCACGUGAAGGGCAUGCCAACACAACCUCUCAGACGUGCCAGAGCCUCGUGGCGGACACCACAGAACCACCUGCCGGACACACCGGAACCACCUGCCGGACACGCCGGAACCACUUGGCGAACACUGCAGAAUCACCUGUUGGGCAUGCCGGAACCACCUCUCAGACUUGCCAGAACCAUGUAGCAGACAGGCCGGUACCACCUGCCGAGUAUGCUGGAACCACCUGAUCCACUCCCCAGAAACACCUGCUGGACACGCCAAAAUCACUUGCCAGCUACACCACAACCAGUUGGUGGAAACUUCGGAAUCACCUGCAGGGCUGGCUGGAACCACCUGCCGGUCAAGCCCACAUCACCUGUCAGCUCCGCAAGAACCACUUGGCGGACACUCCGGAAACACAUGUCGGGCCGGCCGGAACGACCUCUCAGACGUGCCAGAACCAUGUGCCUGAGAUGCCGGAACCACACCCCAACAGACCGAAACCACCUGCCAGUCCCGCCUGAACCACCUGCCGAGCACGCUGGAACCACCUGCUCGACUAGCCGGAACCACCUACCUGACACGCCAAAAUCACCUGCCGGCUAUGCCAGAACGACUUGGCAAACACUCCGGAAUCACCUGCCGGGCAUGCCGGAACCACCUCUCAGACAUGCCAGAACCACAUGCCAAUGACACCGGAAGGACCUGCCGAGCACUCCGCAACCACCUCCAGGACAUACCGGAACCACCUUCCGGACACGCUGGGACCUCCUGCUUGACUCGCCAGAACCACCUGCCGGACACGCCAAAAUCACCAGCCGGCUACGCCACAACCACUUGUCGGACACUCCGGAAUCACCUGCCGGGCAUGCUGGAACCACCUCUCAGAGGUGCCAGAACCACAUGCCAGAGACUCCGGAAUCACCUGCUGGGCAUGCCAGAACCAUCUCUCAAACGUGCCACAACCACGUGCCGGAGAGACCGGAAGCACCUGCCGAACUCGCCAGAACCACCUGCGUGACAGGCCAAAAUCAUAUGUUGGCUACGCCCAAACCACUUGGUGGACACUCCAGAAUCACCUUGCGGGCAUCCCAGAACCACAUCAUGGACAGACUGCAAACACCUACCGAACCUGACUGAACCACCUGCCGAGCUGGCCGGAACCACCUGCAGGUCACGCCAACAUCACCUGCCAGCUACACCAGAAUCACUUGGCGGACACUCUGGAAUCACCUGCCGGGCAUGCAGGAACCACCUCUCAGAAGUGCCACAAACACAUGCCGGAGACGGCGUAAGCACCUGCCGAGAAUCCCUGAAGUUCAUGAUCCAUUCCACAGAACCACCAGACGGACACACCAAAAUCACGUGCCGGCUACCCCAGAACCACUUGGCGGACACUCCAGAAUCACCUGCCGGGCAUGCCAGCACAACCUCUCAGAAGUGCCAGAAGCACGUGCCGGACAAGCUGGAACCAUCUCCCGGACAGACCGGAACCACGGGAAACACUCGCCGGAACCACCUGCUUGACUCACCGGUCCCACCUGCCUGACACACCAAAAUCAGCUGCCGGGUAUGCCUGAACCACUUGGUGGACACUCCGGAAUCAUCUGCCGGACAUGCCAGAACCAGUUCUCAGACACACCAGAAUCACGUGCCGGACAUGCUGGAAGCACCUGCUGCGCAUGCCUGAGCUACCUGCUCGUCUCGCAAGAAACACCUGCCGGACACGCCAAAAUCACCUGCCAGGUAAGCCAGAACCACUCGGUGGACACUCCGGAAUCACCUAUCGGGCAUGCCGGAACCACCUCUCAGAGGUGCCAGAACCACAUCCCGGACACUCCAGAAUCACCUGUCGGGCAUGCCGGAACCACCUCUCAGACUUGCCAGAACCAUGUUCCGGACAUGCCAGUACCACCUGCCGAGUAUGCCGGAACCACCUUAUCCACUCCCCAGAACCACCUGCUGGACAUGCCAUAAUCACCUGCCGGCUACGCCAGAACCACUCGUCAGACACUCCGCAACCACCUCUAGGACAGACCGGAACCACCUGCCAGACACACCGGAACCACUGGCUCGACUCUCCGGAACCACUGCCGGACAUGCAAAAUCACCUGCCGGCUAUGCCAGAACCACUUGGCGAACACUCCGGAAUCACCUGUCUGGCAUGCCGGAACCACCUCUCAGACAUGCCAGAACCAUGUUCCGGACACGCCGGUACCACAUGCCCAGUAUGCCGGAACCACCUGAUCCACACCCCAGGAACACCUGCUGGACACGCCAAAAUCACCUGUCGGCUACGCCAGAACCACUCGGCAGACACUCCGCAACCACCUCCAGGAGAGACCGGAAUCACCUGCCGGACACGCCGGGACGACCUGCUUGACUUGCCAGAACCACCUGCCGGACACGCCAAAAUCAGCAGCCGGCUAUGCCACAACCACUUGUCGGACACUCCGAAUCACAUGUCGGGCAUGCUGGAACCACCUCUCAGAGGUGCCACAACUACAUGCUGGAGACGGCGGAAGCACCUGCCGAGAAUGCCGGAAGUUGCUUAUCCACUCCACAGAACCACCAGCCGGACACGCCAAAAUCACCUGCCGGCUACGCCAGAACCACUUGGCGGACACUCCAGAAUCACCUGCCGGGCAUGCCAGCACAACCUCUCAGAAGUGACAGAAGCACGUGCCGGACAGGCCGGAACCAUCUCCGGGACAGACAGGAACCACAGGAAACACUCGCCGGAACCGCCUACUUGACUCACCGGUCCCACCUGCCAGGCACACCAAAAUCACCUGCCUGCUACACCAGCACCACUUGGGGGACAAACUGGAAUCACGUGAAGGGCAUGCCGGCACAACCUCUCAGACGUGCCAGAAUCAUGUGCCAUAAAGACCAGAACCACAUGCCUAGUAUACCGGAAGCACCUGAUCCACUCCCCAGAACCACCUGCCAGACACGCCCACAUCACAUGCCAGCCACACCAGUACCACUUGGCGGACUCUCUGCAAUCACCUGCUGGGCAUGCCGGAACCAACUCUCAGAUGUGCCGCAGCCACGUGCCAGACACACCAGAACCACCUCACGGAGAGACAGGAAUGACCUGCCGGACCCGACUGAACCACCAGCCGAGCAUGCCAGAACCACCUGCUUGACUCGCCAGAACCACCUACCGGACACGCCAAAAUCACCUGCCUGCUAGGCCUGAACCACUUGUCGGACUCUCCGGGAUCACCUGGUGGGCAUGCCGAAACCAUGUCUCAGACGUGCCAGAACCAAGUGCCGGACACGCCAGAACCACCUGCCGACCAGGCUGGAACCACCAGCCGAACACGCCAAAAUCACCUGCCGGUAAUGCCAGAAUCACUUGGAGGACUCUCCGGGAUCACCGGCCGGGCAUGCCGGAACCACCUCUGAGACGUACCAGAAGCACGUGCCAGACACGCCGGAACCACAUCCUGGACAGACUGGAGCCACCGGCGGGACAUGCACGAACCUCCUGCCGAGAAUGCCAGAAACACCUGCUCGGCUCCCGGGAAAAACCUAUGGGGAAACUGUCAUAGAAAUGAAGGUCAAACGGCCUUUCUUGCCAGGCCUUACCUCGCCACUUUAGAACUUCUGCUUCUGCCACAAUUCCACCUUGCCAACCCGGCUCAGACGAAAUGCCUACAGAUUCCCCUUGAGCAAUGGGGACGAGGCCUGGAUGAUUGUGGUUCCACAUGCUGAGGAGGAGAGAGACAGUAGGCUCUUAACUAACCACCAAGUGCAAUGGUUGAGAGAGUGUCAGAAAGCACCAAUGGCAGAAAGACCCCUUUACUCUCAGCCGUGCCCUCCAUUGCUCUAGAGCUGGAAGGCACAAAGGACUGCCUCAAUCCUUCAAUGCGAAACAAGCCAUAAACUGUCUUGCCUCCAGCUCUUUAGGAAGCUGACGAACAACUCGCUUUCCACAGUCCCCUUACAGCAUACCAGGAACCUCUCAUACAAAGGCAGCUCAAACGCCAUUUCUUCCCAGUGCUUAACUUGCAGCUUUAGGACUUCUGCUUCUGCCGCAAUUCCACCUUGCCAAUCCGGCUCAGACGAAAUGCCUACAUCUUCCACUGAAGCAACUGGGCUGUGUCCCAAAUGAUUGAGCGUCCACGUGCUUAGGAGGCGAUAGACUGCACGCCUUUUUCCAACCACCAAUGUGCACUGCUGGAGAGAUUUUCGUAAAGAAGCUAUGUCAGAAAGGCCCCUUUGCUCACAGCCGUGCCCUUCAUUGCUCUACAGGUGGAAGGCACAAGGCACUGGCUCUGGAUCCACCCCUCAAUAGGAGACAAACAACAUCUUGUCCUGCUUCUAGCUCUGUAGGAAGCUGAGAAAAAACUCCCUUUCCACAGUGCCCUUACAGCGUCCUGGGAACAUCUCAUACAAAGGAGGCUGAACACCGUUUCCUUCAUCACUUCACUCCCCAGUCUGGGACUUCUGCAUCCUGCACAUUUCCACCUUGGCAACCUGGCUCAGACGAAAUGCCUACAUCUUCCCCUUCAGCAACGGGCACGAGGCCCAGAUGAUUCUGCUUCCACAUGCUUAGCAGGAGCAGACAAUAGGCUUUUUACAAACCGCCAUUGUGCACUGGUGCAGAGAGUGUCAGAGCGCACCUAUGUCAGAAAGGGCCCUUUGCUCUCAGCCAUGCCCUCCAUUGCUCCAGAGGUGGAAGGCACAAAGCACUGCCUCCAUCCUUCAAUUGGAGACAAGCCAUCAACUGUCCUGCUUCCAGCUCUUUAGGAAGCUGGGAAAGCACGCGCAUUCCACAGUGCUCUUACAGCAUCCUGGGAACAUCUCAUAAAAGGCACCUGAAUGCCGUGUCUUUUCAGCCCUUAACUCGCCAAUCUGCAACAUCCGCUUCUGCCGCAUUUCCACCUUGCCAACCCGGCUCAGACGAAAUGCCUACAUCUUCCCCUUGAGCAAUGGGGACGAGGCCCGGAUGAUUGUGGUUCCACAUGCUGAGGAGGAGACAGACAAUAGGCUUUUAACCAACCGCCCUUGAGCAAUGGUUGGGGCAGUGUCAGAAACCACCAAUUUCAGAAAGUCCCUUUACUCUUGGUCUUGCCCUCCAUUCCUCUAGAGGUAGGAGGCACAAGGCACUGGCACCACCCCUGAAGGGUAUCAGAAAGCACCAAUGGCAGAAAGCCCCCUUUGCUCUCAGCCGUGCCCUCCAUUGCUCUGCAGGUGGAAGGCACAAAGCACUGCCUCAAUCCUUCAAUGAGAGAGAAGCCAUAAACUGUCUUGCCUCCAGCUCUUUAGGAAGCUGAGAAAGAACUCGCUUUCCACAGUGUUGUACAACAUACGAGGAAUCUCUCAUACAAAGUCAGCUCAAAUGCCAUUUCUUCCCAGCGCUUAACUCGCCGCUUUAGGACUUCUGCUUCUGCCGCAGUUCUACCUUGCCAACCUUGCUCAGACGAAAUGCCUACAUCUUCCCCUGAAGCAACUGGGCUGAGUCCCAAAUGAUUUAGCAUCCACCUGCUCAGGAGGCGACAGACUGUAAGCCUUUUUCCAAACACCAUUGUGCACUGGUGGAGAGAGUGUCAGAAUGCAGCUAUGUCAGAAAGACCCUUUUGCUCUCAGCCAUACCCUCCAUUGCUCUAGAUUGCAAUGCACAAUGCAUUGGCCCCACCCCUCAAGGGGCCACAAGCCACAGACCAUCUUCCUUCCUUCUCUUUAGGAAGCUGAGAGCAAACUCACCUGACGUAUAAAAAGGAAUCAUGCCCCUUAUGUGCCAGAAAACCCCGGGAGACAUGCCAAAAACACCCUCUGCACACUCUCAAAGGGCCACACAUUCAUGCCAGUAUGACCCAACAGGCAUACCAGAAGCACGCACGUUGCAUGCCAGAACCACCUGUAACCACCUGCCGGACACAGUGGAACAGUGAUUCUGACACUGCAGAACCAUCUCUUCAACAUGCCAGCCGCACACAAUGACAUGACGGAACCAGAUUCCAAACAUAGCACAACGACAUGCCAGACACAUUGUAAACACCUGUUGGAUAUGCCACAAACAGGAGCCAGAAACUCUGAAACCAGCUGAGUAUGAAAGAACGGGGGCCAGAAGUGCCACAAGCAUCUGUCUUACAAGCCAGAGCCAUGAGCGCAAAAAGCAGGAAAGACCUGCCGGACACACCAAAAUAACCUGCCGGUGACGCCAGAACCACUUGGCAGACACCCAGGAAUCACCUGCCAGGCACGCCUGAAGCACCUCACAGAUGUGCCAGAACCACGUGCCGGCCAUGCCGGAACCAGCACCCGGACAGACCAGAAGCACCUGCCAGACACGCCGGAACCACAUGCCGCGCAUGCCGGAACCACCUCUCACACAUGCCAGAACCAUGUGCCAAUGACCCCGGAAGCACCUGCCGAGCACGCCGGAACCACCUGCUCGACUCGCCAGAACCACAUGCUGGACACGCAAAAAUCACCUGCCGGCUACGCCAGAACGAGUUGGUGGACUCUCUGGAAUCACCUGCCGGGCAUGAUAGAACCACCUCUCAGACGUGCCGGAACCAUAUGCCAGACACGCCGGAACCACCUCCCGGACAGACCGGAACCACCUGCCGGACCUGCCAGAUCCAACGGUCGAGCAUGCAGGAACCACCGGCUCGACCCUCCGGAACCAAUGCCAGACAUACAAAAUCACCUGAAGUCUAUGCGAGAAGCACUUGGCAAACACUCCGGAAUCACCGGCCGGGCAUGCCAGAACCACCUCUCAGACAUGCCAGAACCACGUGCCAAUGACCCCGGAAGCACCUGCCGAGCACGCUGGAACCACCUGCUCGACUCGCCAGAACCACCUGCCAGACACGCAAAAAUCACCUGCCGGCUGCGACACAACCAGUUGGUGAACACUUCGUUAUCACGGGCCGGGCUUGCUGGAACCACCUGCCGGUCAUGCCAAAAUCACCUGCCAACUACACCAGAACUGCUUGGCGGACACUGCCCAAACACCUGUCGGGCCGGCCGGAACCACAUCUCAGACGUGCCAGAACCAUGUGCAUGAGAUGCCGGAGCCACAACCCAAACAGACGGAAACCGCCUGCCAGAACCGCCUGAACCACCUGCCAAGCACGCCGGAACCACCUGCUUGACUCGCCGGAACCACCUACCUGACACGCCAAAAUCACCUGCCGGGUACGCCAGAACCACCUGGCUGACACUCCGGAAUCAUCUCUCGCGCAUGCCGGAACCACCUCUCAGACAUGCCAGAAGGACGUGUCAGACACGCCGGAAACACAUACCGGACAGACCGGAACCACCUGCCAGACAUGCUGGAACCACCUGCCAAGCACACCGUAGCCACCUGCCCGACUCUCCGGAACCACCUGCUGGACACGCCAAAGUCAACAGCUGGCUAUGCGGGAAACACCUGGGGCGCAGUCCGGAAUCACCUGCCGGGCAUGCAGGAACCAACUCUCAGACGUGCCAGAACUGGUGCCAGACACCCCAGAACCACCUGCCGGACAGACCGCAGCCACCUGCCGGACAUGCCGAGAACAAGCGGCUCGACCCGCAUGAACCACCGCCAGACAUGCAAAAUCACCUGCCGGCUACGUCAGAACCACUUGGGGAACAAUCCGGAAUCACCUGCCAGGCAUGCCGGAACCAUCUCUCAGACAUGCCAGAACCACGUGCCUAUGACACCGGAAGCACCUGCUGAGCAUGCCUGAGCCACAUGCUCGACUUGCAAGAAACACCUGCCAGACACGCCAAAAUCACCUGCCGGGUACGCCAGAACCACGUGGCGGACACUCCGGAAUCACCUGUCGGGCAUGCAGGAACCACCUCUCAGACAUGCCUGAACCACAUGCCAAUGUCACCGGAAGCACCUGCCAAGCACGCCAGAACCACCUGCUCGACUCGCCAAAACCACCUGCUGGACACGACAAAAUCACCUGUCAGCUACGCCACAACCAUUUGGUGAACACUCCGGAAUCACCUGCCGGGCAUUCCGGGACCACCUCUCAGACUUGCCAGAACCAUGCCCAGGACACGCCGGUACCACCUGCCGAGUAUGCCGGAACCACCUGAUCCACUCCCCAGAACCACAUGCUGGACACGCCAGAAUCACCUGCCGGCUGCGCCAGAAACACUCGGCAGACACUCCGGAACCACCUGUCGGGCAUGCUGGAACCACCUCUCAGAGGUGACAGAACCACAUGCCGGACACUCCGGAAUCACCUGCCGGCCAUGCCGGAACCAUCUCUCAGACGUGCCAGAACCAUGUUCCGGACACGCCAGUACCACCUGCCAAGCUCACCACAACCACCUGCUGGACACGCCAAAAUCACCUGCCGGCUAGGCCAGAACCACUUGGCAGACACUCCGGAAUCAACUGCCGGGCUUGCUGGAACCACCUGCCGGUCACGCGAACAUCACCUGCCAGCUACGCCAGAACCACUUGGCGGACACUCCGGAAAAACCUGUCGGACCGGCCGGAACCACCUCUCAGAUGUGCCAGAACCAUGUGCCUGAGAUGCCGGAACCACACCCCGAACAGACCGAAACCACCUGCCAGACCCCCCUGAACCACCUCCCGAGCACGCCGCAACCACCUACUCGACUCGCCGGAACCACCUACCUGACACGCCAAAAUCACCUGCCGGGUAUGCCAGAACCACUUGGUGGACACUCCGGAAUCAUCUGCCGGACAUGCCAGAACCAGCUCUCAGACACACCAGAACCACAUGCCGGAUAUGCCGGAAGCACCUGCUGAGCAUGCCUGAGCCACAUGCUUGACUCACCGGAAACACCUGCCAGACACUCAAAAAUCACCUGCCGGGUACGCCAGAACCACGUGGCGGACAGUCCGGAAUCACCUGUCGGGCAUGCCGGAACCACCUCUCAGACGUGCCUUAACCUCGUGCCGGACACGCCAGAACCACCUGCCGGACAGACCAGAACCACCUGCCGGACACGAUGCAACCACCGUCUCGACUCACUGGAACCACCGCUGGACAUGCAAAAUCACCUGCCGGCUAUGCCAGAACCACUCGUCAGACACUCCGGAAUCACUUGCCAGGCUUGCUGGAACCACCUGCCGGUCACGCCAACAUCACCUGCGAGCUACGCCAGAACCACUUGGCGGACACUCCGGAAUCACCUGUCGGGCAUGCAGGAACCACCUCUCAGACUUGCCAGAACCAUGUUCAGGACACGCCGGUACCACCUGCUGAGUAUGCCGGAACUACCUGAUCCACUCCCCAGAACCACCUGCUGGACAUGCCAGAAUCACCUGCCGGCUAGGCCAGAACCACUCGGCAGACACUCUGGAACCACCUGUCGGGCAUGCCGGAACCACCUCUCAGAGGUGCCAGAACCACAUGCCGGACACUCAGGAAUCACCUGCCGGGCAUGCCGGAACCAUCUCUCAGACGUGCCAGAACCAUGUUCCGGACACGCCGGUACCACCUGCCGAGCUCGCCACAACCACCUGCUGGACACGCCAAAAUCACCUGCCGGGUAUGCCAGAACCACUUGGUGGACACUCCGGGAUCAUCUGCCGGACAUGCCAGAACCAGCUCUCAGACACACCAGAACCACAUGCCGGACAUGCCGGAAGCACCUGCUGAGCAUGCCUGAGCCACAUGCUCGACUCGCAAGAAACACCUGCCAGGCAGUCAAAAAUCACCUGCCGGGUACGCCAGAACCACGUGGCGGACACUCCGGAAUCACCUGUCGGGCAUGCCGGAACCACCUCUCAGACGUGCCUUAACCUCGUGCCGGACACGCCAGAACCACCUGCCGGACAGACCAGAACCACCUGCCGGACAUGAUGCAACCACCGUCUCGACUCACUGGAACCACCGCCGGACAUGCAAAAUCACCUGCCAGCUAUGCCAGAACCACUUGGCGGACACCAUUGAAACACCUGUCGGGCCGUCCAGAACCACCUCUCAGACGUGCCAGAACCAUGUGCCUGAGAUGCCGGAACCACAUCCCGAACAUACCGAAACCACCUGCCAGACCCGCCUGAACCACCUGCCGAGCACGCCGGAACCACCUACUCGACUCGCCGGAACCACCUACCUGACACGCCAAAAUCACCUGCCAGACACUCCACAACCACCUCCAGGACAGACCGGAAUCACCUGCCGGACACGCCAGGACCACCUGCUUGACUCGCCAGAACCCCCUGCAGGACACCCCAAAAUCACCAGCCGGCUACCCCACAACCACUUGUCCGACACUCUGGAACCACCUGCCGGGCAUGUUGGAACCACCUCUCAGAGGUGCCACAACCACAUGCCGGAGACGGCGGAAGCACCUGCCGAGAAUGCCGGAAGUUCCUGAUCCACUCCACAGAACCACCAGCCGGACACGCCAAAAUCACCAGCCGGCUAUGCCAGAACCACUUGGCGGACACUCCAGAAUCAACUGCCUGGCAUGCCAGCACAACCUCUCACAAGUGCCAGAAGCACAUGCCGGACAGGCCGGAACCAUCUCCCAGACAGACCGGAACCACAGGAAACACUCGCCGGUGCAACCUGCUUGACUCACCGGUCCCACCUGCCGGACACGCCAAAAUCACCUGCCCGCUACACCAGAACCACUUGGUGGACAAGCCGGAAUCACAUGAAGGGCAUGCCGACACAACCUCUCAGACGUGCCAGAACCUCGUGCCGGACACCCCAGUACCACCUGCCGGACACAACGGAACCACCUGCCGGACACGCCGGAACCACCGGCUCGACUCGCCGGAACCACCGCCGGACUUGGAAAAUCACCUGCCGGCUACGCCAGAAACACUUGGCGAACACUCCGGAAUCACCUGCCAGGCAUGCCGGAACCACCUCUCAGACACGCCGGAACCACAUGCCGAACACGCCACAGCCAUCUGCUCGACUCGCCGGAACCACCUGCUGGACAGACCGGAACCACCUGCCGGACACGCCGGAACCACCGGCUCGACUCGCCGGAACCAUUGCCGGACAAGCAAAAUCACCUGCCGGCUACGCCAGAACCACUUGGCGAACACUCCGGAAUCACCUGCCGGGCAUGGCGGAACCACCUCUCAGACAUGCCGGAACCACAUGCCAAUGACACCGGAAGCACCUGCCGAGCACGCCAGAACCACCUGCUCGACUCGCCAAAACCACCUGCUGGACACGCCAAAAUCAGCUGCCGGCUACGCCACAACCAUUUGGUGAACAUUUCGGAAUCACCUGCCGGGCUGGCUGGAACCACCUGCCGGUCACACCAACAUCACCUGCUAGCUAUGCCAGAACCACUUGGCGGACACCAUGGAAACACCUGUCGGGCCGGCCGGAACCACCUCUCAGACGUGCCAGAACCAUGUGCCUGAGAUGCCGGAACCACACCCCAAUCAGAACGAAACCACCUGCCAGACCCGCCUGAACCCCCAGGCGAGCACGCCUGAUCCACCUGCUCAACUACCCGGAACCACCUUCCUGACACGCCAAAAUCACCUGCCGGGUAUACCAGAACCACUUGGUGGACACUCCGGAAUCAUCUCCCGGACAUGCCAGAACCAGCUCUCAGACACACCAGAACCACAGGCCAGAGACGCCAGAAGCACCAGCUGAGCAUGCCUGAGCCACCUGCUCGACUCGCAAGAAACACCUGUCGGACAUGCCAAAAUCACAUUCCGGGUACGCCAGAAACACUUGGCGGACACUCCGGAAUCACCUGUCGGGGAUGCCGGAACCACCUCUCAGACUUGCCAGAACCAUGUUCUGGACAGGCCAGUACCACCUGCCGAGUAUGCCGGAACCAGCUGAUCCACUCCCCAGAACCACCUACUGGACACGCCAAAAUCAACUGCCGGCUAUGCCAGAACCACACGGCAGACACUCCGGAAUCACAUGCCAGGCAUUCCGGAACCACCUCUCAGAGGUGCCAGAACCACAUGCCGGAGACUCUGGAAUCACCUGCCGGGCAUGCCGGAACCUUCUCUCAGACGUGCCACAACCACGUGCCGGAGAGACCGGAAGCACCUGCCGAACUCUCCGGAACCACCUGCCUUACAGGCCAAAAUCAUACGCCGGAUACGCCAAAACCACUUGGUGGACACUCCGGAAUCACCUUGCGGGCAUGCUGGAACCACGUCAUGGACAGACGGCAAACACCUGCCG